rnacentral:rRNA from 1 species
GACGAACGCUGGCGGCGUGCCUAAUACAUGCAAGUAGAACGCACAGUUUAUACCGUAGCUUGCUACACCAUAGACUGUGAGUUGCGAACGGGUGAGUAACGCGUAGGUAACCUGCCUGGUAGCGGGGGAUAACUAUUGGAAACGAUAGCUAAUACCGCAUAAUAUUAAUUAUUGCAUGAUAAUUAAUUGAAAGGUGCAAUUGCACCACUACCAGAUGGACCUGCGUUGUAUUAGCUAGUAGGUGAGGUAACGGCUCACCUAGGCGACGAUACAUAGCCGACCUGGGAGGGUGAUCGGCCACACUGGGACUGGGACACGGCCCAGACUCCUACGGGAGGCAGCAGUAGGGAAUCUUCGGAAAUGGACGAAAGUCUGACCGAGCAACGCCGCGUGAGUGAAGAAGGUUUUCGGAUCGUAAAGCUCUGUUGUAAGAGAAGAACGGGUGUGAGAGUGGAAAGUUCACACUGUGACGGUAUCUUACCAGAAAGGGACGGCUAACUACGUG